rnacentral:rRNA from 1 species
UACGUAGGGUGCAAGCGUUGUCCGGAAUUAUUGGGCGUAAAGCGCGCGUAGGCGGUCUGUUAAGUGCACAAGUGAAAGCUCCGGGCUCAACUCGGAAAUUGCUUUGCAUACUGGCAGGCUGGAGGGACGCAGAGGUCUGUGGAAUUCCCGGUGUAGCAGUGAAAUGCGUAGAUAUCGGGAGGAACACCAGUGGCGAAGGCGAGUCCCUGGACAAUUCCUGACGCUGAGGCACGAAAGCUAGGGGGAGCAAACAGG